GACGAACCGUGCGAACGUUAUUCGGAAUCACUGGGCUUAAAGCGCGUGUAGGCGGGGUGGCACGUCGGUCGCUGAAAACCGCCCGCAUCGGAACGGGGAGGCGCCGAUACGACCACCCUGGAGGGACGUAGGGGGACCUGGAACUUCCGGUGGAGCGGUGAAAUGCGUUGAGAUCGGAAGGAACGCCCGUGGCGAAAGCGAGGUCCUGGACGUUUACUGACGCUGAGACGCGAAAGCCAGGGGAGCGAA
rnacentral:rRNA from 1 species